CCGCCCUCAGCUCCGCAGGGCUCCGCCGCGGGGUGGAGGAGGGGACGCGCCCGCCAGGAUGGGGGCGGGAGGGACCGCCGGGAAGGAGCCCGGAGGACCCCUGGGAGCCGGGUCGACUCAGGUUUGCACAAGUCAACAAAAUACUGUGUAUUGGGAUGGACAAGACACUCCUGAAGAUGAUGACUAGGUGCUGUGGCAGGGAGAGGGCCUCACCCAGCAGACAUGUUGUAGAAGAUGUUGAAGCAGACGAUAGCUGGAAACCUUCAGAGAACAUUUGAUUUG